rnacentral:tRNA from 1 species
GCCUCGGUGGUCUAAUCGUGAGGACGCUCGUACGGAAUGCAAGAGAUUCGGGUUCAAUCCCCGGCCGAGGUC